GAUGAACGCUGGCGGCGUGCCUAAUACAUGCAAGUAGAACGCUGAAGCUUGGUGCUUGCACCGAGCGGAUGAGUUGCGAACGGGUGAGUAACGCGUAGGUAACCUGCCUCUUAGCGGGGGAUAACUAUUGGAAACGAUAGCUAAUACCGCAUAAAAGUCGAUAUCGCAUGAUGUUGAUUUGAAAGGUGCAAUUGCAUCACUAAGAGAUGGACCUGCGUUGUAUUAGCUAGUUGGUGAGGUAACGGCUCACCAAGGCGACGAUACAUAGCCGACCUGAGAGGGUGAUCGGCCACACUGGGACUGAGACACGGCCCAGACUCCUACGGGAGGCAGCAGUAGGGAAUCUUCGGCAAUGGGGGCAACCCUGACCGAGCAACGCCGCGUGAGUGAAGAAGGUUUUCGGAUCGUAAAGCUCUGUUGCAAGAGAAGAACGAGUGUGAGAGUGGAAAGUUCACACUGUGACGGUAACUUACCAGAAAGGGACGGCUAACUACGUGCCAGCAGCCGCGGUAAUACGUAGGUCCCGAGCGUUAUCCGGAUUUAUUGGGCGUAAAGCGAGCGCAGGCGGUUAGAUAAGUCUGAAGUUAAAGGCUGUGGCUUAACCAUAGUACGCUUUGGAAACUGUUUAACUUGAGUGCAGAAGGGGAGAGUGGAAUUCCAUGUGUAGCGGUGAAAUGCGUAGAUAUAUGGAGGAACACCGGUGGCGAAAGCGGCUCUCUGGUCUGUAACUGACGCUGAGGCUCGAAAGCGUGGGGAGCAAACAGG
rnacentral:rRNA from 1 species